AGGGAGGGGGGGGGGGGGGGGGCAAAUGAAGGGGGAAAAAAAGAGAAAGAAAACAACUUCUAAAGGACUCUUGAGAUGCCUCAGGAUUUUUCCAUGACAGACCAUCGCCUUUCCCAAUGUCGAGCGGUGGGAACGGGCCACUUUGUUUGUACGAAGCGGUGUCUGGGAGGAAUGUGGGGUUUAGCCGGGGAGCCGAGAGGGGGGGUGUAUGAUAACUCCCACUCCAUUCAGAUUUAUGGUCAAGACAGAGGGGCUCCUCCGGAUGCAUGUCAGGGGACCAGUAGAACACCACCCCUCUGCCAAAGCAAAUGUUUUAGCCGAGCAAACCCUCGCUAUUCUGUGCGUCGCUCUCUCUCUCCCUUCCUCUGUCUCCUUUUCUGUGCAAUCGUAUGGAAAAGUGGGUGAUUGUUCUCCCGUGAAGCUUUCACACGGUGACAUUUGUGGUAACCUCAUUAUAAACCAGGCGUUGGCCGUAAUGAAAGCGUCCUUGCCUGGAGUUAGAUGCGAAGAUCGAUAGCACCCUCGCCGUGAUGAAGCCGCAGCCAGCAGCCCGUUAGCUUAGCAUAAAGGCUAGCUUCGCCCUGUUCAAAGGCUGGGAAAAUCCCUGCUGCUGGGCUGUGGAAUAUUCUGCCUUUUAAACGAUCGAGAUGUAGCGUGAGGCGCCAGGAGGGGAAUUUAGAAAGUGUCGGAGAGGACCAAGCCGCUGUUUGAUUUAUCACCAACAAAUCAGGCAAGAAAGCUGGUCGACUGUGAAAAGUGUGUCCUUCCCAAUCUCAGAUUAGAUUCCUCAUCAAAGUGUUUGUCAGCAGUAAUUGACAAACCAGGUCUUUAACCUACCAACAUUUCAUUUACAGAUGUCCUUUCAAUUCUUCUGCGCAUUCCUGGGCCGGUUGUGCGACAUCCUUCAUAGCAGGGUCGGACUUUGCAAACUCCUCUUAAAAAGUUUUCAGAAUCCUUAGAAAAAAAACGACCCCAUUCCCCUCGUCGAGCCCAACCAACACAACUGUACAGCGGCCUCGAAUGCAUUCAUCUCCCUGCCUGCCUGGUCUAUCAGAGGACGACACACUCCUUUAUCUCAUCGAGCAUCUGGUAAUGGAAGGUGAGAUUGUUUUGGUCGUGGAGGAUCGGCGAGGCUGAGCCGAGUGGAGCGGUCUGCAGCCAUGCAAAUUACACUGUCACUAGCUAGCCUGUUUAAUACAUCUGCCUUGUAAAUUGGAGCAUUCUGCAGAGGUGAACCUGUGGGGCUGUUGGACUACGUUAGUAGUUUGAAAUACACAAGGGAUGUGAUUUUCCUGCCUAUUUACAAUAUUUUUUACAAAAGUUUUUGUUGUAGACAUCGCUGGUUUUCAAAUGCUUUUCUCCACAUUCUGUCCCAUUAGCCAUGUGCUCAGUGUACUGGGGACCUGCGGAUGGCCAUGCUGGUUGGUUGGUCGGGUUUGAUCCACCUGACUAUUCCUCACUGGGGACAAGUUAUCCCCUGUAGUCCCUGCUGGUUGCAGAAUGUCAAAGCUUGCGUCACCUUUUUGUAUGAGCAAAGGUCUACGGCUUUCCCACAGGCCUCUCCAAUGAACUUUCUGUUCAGUGCUGAUAAGCAAAUGUUAGCAUGCUAAACUAAGGUAGUUGAACAUUGCACUGCUAACAUGCUGAGCAUUUAGUAUGUGUCCUCUCUCACAACAUGUCUCCUCAAUGUUGGCAAGUGGCCAACAGGCAUUCAUCUCCUCUUCCAUCCGCAGUAAACACUGCAUCCUCGGCCGGGCAGCGAGUCAGAUGAACGGCAGCGUCCAUGUGUGUGACAGAGAGGGAGGUGUUUGUGCGAGAUGGAAAAGGGAACAAGACGGGCCUGUUACAUCGUGCUAAUCCUAAUCCUAGCCUGCAAUUGUGUCCAAUGUCCACCCCUCCUGCUCCGAGUCACUUCCAGGUCUUGGCUUAGCCGGGGGAAAAAAAGGUGAAUGUCUGCUUCCAUGGCGCCGUCGGUCAGGCGAACCCACUGACCUUGGCGCGGCGGCUGCUUGGCGAGCCUCUGGAGAACCUUCGUCCUCCAUCGUUCCAAUCCAGGAGAUCCGAUUGAAACUGCGAGUGUGCCAUCUGCCCCUUGACAAGAUUACACUGUGCGAUUGGCCAAGAAAUCCUCUAGCGUGGCAGAUUAAUAUUGAAAUAUAGGGCAGGAAUAGCUGCUGCAUGUCUAGAUUCUGUUUUGCCGUGUAGCCCCUCUGAAUUCAUGCCACAGCAACAACAUUUUCCCAGGUGAUUGGAUUAGGAAAUGUAUUAAUUGUUUCUAUCCGUCCCUUUUUGCAUCUCUUUUUCUGCUGAUCCCCCUGGUCCUUUUUUUGUAUUUUGCAUGUGUUUGUGUUAAUCCAGAACUUCCUCCCAUGUCCUCUCUUUAGAUUUUAAUAAAUGUAUCCCAGCUCC